rnacentral:rRNA from 1 species
CCUACGGGUGGCAGCAGUGAGGAAUAUUGGUCAAUGGGCGGGAGGCUGAACCAGCCAAGUAGCGUGAAGGAUGACGGUCCUACGGGUUGUAAACUUCUUUUAUAAAGGAAUAAAGUGAGGCACGAGUGCCUUUUUGUGUGUACUUUAUGAAUAAGCAUCGGCUAACUCCGUGCCAGCAGCCGCGGUAAUACGGAGGAUGCGAGCGUUAUCCGGAUUUAUUGGGUUUAAAGGGUGCGUAGGGGGGGUGUUAAGUCAGUGGUGAAAGUUUGGGGCUCAACCGUAAAGUUGCAAUUGAUACUGGCUGCCUUGAGUACAGGUGAGGUAGGCGGAAUGCGCGGUGUAGCGGUGAAAUGCUUAGAUAUUACGAAGAACUCCGAUUGCGAAGGCAGCAUACCAA